rnacentral:rRNA from 1 species
UACGUAGGGUGCAAGCGUUUGUCCGGAAUUAUUGGGCGUAAAGAGCUCGUAGGCGGCCUGUCGCGUCGGCUGUGAAAACCCGGGGGCUCAACCCCCGGGCCUGCAGUGGGUACGGGCAGACUAGAGUGCGGUAGGGGGAGAUUGGAAUUCCUGGUGUAGCGGUGGAAUGCGCAGAUAUCAGGAGGAACACCAAUGGCGAAGGCAGAUCUCUGGGCCGUAACUGACGCUGAGGAGCGAAAGCAUGGGGAGCGAACAGGA